rfam:Lysinibacillus massiliensis 4400831 = CIP 108448 = CCTG 49529 contig2, whole genome shotgun sequence.
ACGGUGUUCCGCUGUAGUGAAAUGACUAUAUGAGCAUCUG